rnacentral:lncRNA from 1 species
UUUCAUUUCUUUCUUUGAAUCCUAAAUAGGAAUACAUAUAACGAGGUUCAAUAAAAUAUAAUGUAUUUACCAGUAAUGGGCUCAUUAAAUGUUAAAGUUAUCUUUUUUAUAUAAUCAUACAAAUCUUAUCCUUCAGCUUUUGUUGGUACAUUGUAAAAAGAAGAAUAUCAUCAACAAAUCAAACCAAACUUUGAAACUUACUAGCAUAUAUUUGAGUAACCAUCUCUGUGAGGCCAUCAGAAAAAGUAAUCAGGUUUUUUUUUGUUUUUUGUUUUUUGUUUUUUUUAACUCUGGUAUCAAAUUAGAGAAUGCGAGUGAAUUACAAAUGUUUUCUUGUCAAUGUAUGUGCAGUGUGUAAUAUUUUAUUUUUUUAGCUGCAAGAAGUUAUCCAGCAAAAUUUUUCCCAGUUAUUCAAAUAUAACUGUAAUUGUUUUGAGUGUUCCAUAUGUUCGAUGUGUGAUGUGUUUGAGCUUUGAUUUUGCCAUUUGAUAAAGGACUCUCUGUUUUGAAUUUCACUUGAUAAAGGACUCUCUGUUUUGAAUUUCACUUGUAGUUCAGUUUUUAUGUGUUUUUUGGGGUUUUUUUUCACAUAUACCACUGCAUAUGUCUUCUCUAUAUGUUUUAAACCAUUAAAAUGUUUAUGAAACAUAUCUAAAUUGGUAAAAUACAGAACUACACAAACAAAAUAACGAG